UACAGAGGUCUCAAGCGUUGUUCGGAUUCAUUGGGCGUAAAGGGUGCGUAGGUGGCGCCGUAAGUCAGGUGUGAAAUCUCGGGGCUCAACCCCGAAACUGCACUUGAUACUGCGGUGCUCGAGUACUGGAGAGGAGAUUGGAAUUUACGGUGUAGCAGUGAAAUGCGUAGAUAUCGUAAGGAAGGCCGGUGGCGAAAGCGAGUCUCUGGACAGUUACUGACGCUGAUGCACGAAGGCCAGGGGAGCAAACGGG
rnacentral:rRNA from 1 species